rnacentral:rRNA from 1 species
CCUACGGGAGGCAGCAGUGAGGAAUAUUGGUCAAUGGGCGCGCGCCUGAACCAGCCAAGUCGCGUGAGGGAAGACGGUCCUAUGGAUUGUAAACCUCUUUUGUCGGGGAGCAAAAGACGCCACGCGUGGCGUUCCGAGCGUACCCGAAGAAAAAGCAUCGGCUAACUCCGUGCCAGCAGCCGCGGUAAUACGGAGGAUGCGAGCGUUGUACGGAUUUAUUGGGUUUGAAGGGUGCGCAGGCGGAAUAUCAAGUCAGCGGUAAAAUUUAGAGGCUCAACCUCUUCGAGCCGUUGAAACUGGUUUUCUUGAGUGAGUGAGAAGGAUGCGGAAUGCGUGGUG